AUUCAUCUCACUGGGACCGGUUGGACAGUGGAUGCAGCCCAUGGAGGAAACAGAGAUUCAAAAGGGUCAGGUCACUGGCUCCAGGUCAACUCUACUACUAAACAGAAAAGCAAGGACCAAAAUUCAGAUCUUUGUGACCCUCAAUGCCACUAUGCCAUGCGAUGAUGCCUGCCUCUUUUAGAGGCCAACUAAUAGGCCAACUUGAUUUUCUUGAGGAAUGGCCGAAUGGAAGUUGAAUGGUUGAAGGUGACUGGCAAACAGAGAAACAAGGCACCAAGAACUGGCUAUUUCCAAACGUGGGCAAUCAGCUUCUGAAUGAAUAGUUCAGAAUGAUGCAGCUCUGGAUGUUGGAAAGGACAAUUCCGGCGUUUUACUCUUCUGACCAGUUUCUUCGUUUUCAUAACUCUACUUGAAGAACAUAUGAUGUUUGCCAGUGUCUGACAUUACGGACCUCACAGCUUACUGAAUCUGAAAACAGGAGAUAGAGAUGGAAAGGAAAGCCUCAGGAACUUGUUGCAAUAGGGACUGCCAGGUCCCGUUGCACUAUUGGUGGAAGAGAGGUCCACACGGUGCCUACGAUAAGCGAUUUGUUCGUAUCUAUCCAGACUGCAGGUGCAUACAGCCACUCAUCCUCAAAUGCCAUCCUCAGGAGUUUAUGCUGCACACAGACUGGCACAUGUGCAGGAAGACAUAGUGCAGGGCUACGUGCUACAACAUUGUUGGUGACAGCAACAUAUUGGAAGCAACCUGAAUUUUUGUUAAUAGAGGAUUGGCUACAUAAAUGAUGCUAAUCUAUACAACUGGAGUACUAUGAUGCCAUAAAAAAGAAUGUACAAGGUCUUUACGUUUGGAAAGAUCUCUAAGAUAUAAUGAUUUUCUUUGCCUCUCAAGGGAGCUGGGAGAAACUCAAGUCUGAAACUCAAACUCAUCUCAGUCAUUCCUUUCCCUUCAACUAGACCUGAACCUCAGGAGAUCUGGAGUAUGUGCUGAAUUCUACUGGGAACUGAGCCCUCUGAAUAUUAUUAUUGUUUUGCUAAUACUUUUUGCUGGAAAGUACAUCAAACCAGGAUGUGUUGUACCUCUUGCUUUGCCAGACUAUUUAAAAGCAAAAGUGACCAGAUAUCCAACUUAAGGCUGAUCCAGGUUUUUCAUGAUCUAGCCAGGGGAGACAAACCUUCCAGGAAAGUCUCUAGCGAAGGCCAAGGAUUUUAGAAAGUAUCUGUGAACAAAGAAAUGCAAUGUUAGUGGGCUAAUUUCCAUAAUCAAAUGAAGCUGAUGCAAGUGCUUUGUGAAUUGAUGCCCAUCAACGAGAGACUGGAUAAAGAAAAUGUGGCACAUAUACGCCAUGGAAUACUAUGUAGCCGUAAAAAUGAACAAGUUCAUGUCCUUUACAGGGACAUGGAUGAAGCUGGAAAUCAUCAUCCUCAGCCAAUUAACCCAGGAACAGAAAACCAAACACCACAUGUUCUCACUCAUAAGUGGGAGCUGAACAAUAAGAACACGUGAACACAGGGAGGGAAACAUCACAUAGCAGGGCCUGUUGGUGGGCCGGGGGCAAGGGAAGGGAGAGCAUUAGGACAAAUAUCUAAUGCAUGCGGGGCUUAAAACCUAGAUGACGGGUUGAUAGGUGCAGCAAACCACCAUGGCACACGUAUACCUGUGUAACAAACCUGCACAUUCUGCACAUGUAUCCCAGAACUUAAAAAAAAAAAGAAAUGCUUUGUGAAUUAGUCAGGUUCACUGAUGGGAGCUUUGGUCCUGGCACCUGAGGACUGAGCUGGGGGAACCCACACCCAGGCUGCCCAAACACACAGAGGCAGGAGAGGUCAAGGGGCAUCUCGUGGGUGUGGAGUUUUGGACACGGUAUUGCCAUUGUCAGACAUGUGGCUAAGCCUGCAAGGAUGAGAGAGGAAGGAGGAAACCAGCUCCUCUCAACCCUGCAUCAGCCUGAGUGCUUUCAAUCUCUCUCAACCCUUCUCCUCUCUUUUCUCUUUUCUCCUUCCCUCCUUCCCUGAUGGUUUGCCAGGAAGCACAGAAUAAUGGAGUUCAGUGUUACUCAAGGGGCAGUCACCUGCACAGUCAUUACCGGAAUGACGUGUUUCAUCAGAUGUUUCAAAUCCCGAUUCUUGGGGCCUGCUCUAAACCUGCCUACCAAGGCUCUAGGGGCGAGGCCUGGGGACCUGCAUUGUUUGCAAACACCCACAGGUGAUUCUUACAUGCACGAAGCCAGGGAAGCAUUGAUAGAAAAGGUCUUAGACCAGCAGCCAAAAAACCCAAGUUCAAAUCCAUUUACUACCUGGGUGGUCUUGGGCAAGUUACUUAUUAAUUCCCGGCAUGGGAGUCAAUACUACUUUAUAGGAAUUUUUUAUAAGUUAUAGGAGAUACGCUGUUAUGUUAUAGGAGUUAUUUUUUUCUCUUUGAAGAUUAAAAGAGACAAAACAUAUGACAAGGCUGGCAAACAUUGAGCUCUUGCUACAUAGUAGUACACAGUGCCCUAGAGAGUUAGCAAAGGGACGGUGAGCUCACAAAAAUCUUUGUAGGCCUCAGGAUAUAUAUAUUUUGCAGUGACUUUCAAGGCUGAUCUAACUCUCUUUGGAUGAACACAGAGCAAGGAGACUUGCCCACUGAGUGACUUUACUAUACCCCCAGGCCUUACUAACUUGCCCAGGAGUGGGGAAUAUAGUGCUAGAAGGAAGCCAAAGCAAUAAAGAGACACUUUCAGAAAAGCAGGCACUGCAAAGACAACCAUUCCAGCUGGAAGAGCAUGUGGUGGGAGUGGCGUCCUCUCAGACAUGAUCCUCUGCAGGGCUCAUGGGCUCAAAGUCACAGGUUCUCACCAAGGGUGAUGAUUUCCCACAGGGAGCAUCUAGCAACGUCUGGAGACAUUUUUGUCACAGGGUAGGGAAAGGGGGUUGCUACUAGCAUGCAGUGAACAGAGGCCAGAGAGGCUGCUAAACAUCCUACGGUACACUGGACAGUCUUCCACAACAGAAAACUGUCUGGCCCCAAAUGUUCAUGGUUUCAAGGCUGAAAAACACUGCUCUAAGCUAAUGCAGAAGACUUAGUCAUGGGUGAUAGAAGGAGGCCCCUAGGUGGCUACAAACCUCUGAGGGACAGCCUUCCGCUGUGGUGUUGCAAAGUCUCCCAGUUGCACAAGGUCCUGGCGUCCUGCUCAUUGGUGGAUCACCAUUAACCACCUUGCACGUCACAUGUUCAACAUAGCUAGUUUCCCACCCAUUCUUAACGAUGAUAAAUCAGGAAAAGCAUUCUUAGAACACUAGAAAAGCAGAAGUGUGGCUCUCUACAGGGCAGCGGGGAGGUUGCCUCACUCCUAGAAGAUGUCUUGUUUUUACCAAGAGGGUAGAGGGAUGAGAGGAGCUGGAAGACCACGCUGAGGAGCCACGUCCAGACACAUGAAACGAACCUCACAGCCCCACAAGGAUGCCGGGGAGGGCACUCAGUGCUUGGGAUCAGAGCCACGUGGCCACUGGUUUCCGAUGCCCCUUUGCUAGUAUCUGGCUUCCGUGAUUCCCUUGCCUUCAUUUUGUGGCUCUCUCCUGACACUGCCGGCUGAGUGUCUUAGUUAACCAGUAAUCUGGCUUUUCUCCCUCCACUUUGAUCUUCCUGUCUCUGCCUGUCUCCUCUUUCCUGGCAUGGCAUGUGCUCUCGGGCUGUACCUCUGGUAGUGAAUCUCUGGCUGCCCUGGACUCCUGCUGUGCACACUGCCCUGUGUGCAGGUCUGGAUGCCUGGUGUUCCUUCUCAGUGCACCGCCCGAUCCCCUGGGAUCUCUUCACCAUUUUCAUGCAUGGUGCCACCCCACGUGCAGGGCCAGCUUCAUGGCACGUCACCUGUGUGCUUGCAUAGGACUUGGUGCUCAGAAGGACUUCUUGAUGGGUUUCAUGCUCUGCGGCCACCGUAUUAAAAUUGUAAUAAUUUCCUCUUGAAACUUGUAUUUUGUAAGUGACUUCUGAUGAGACAGCAUGGAAUGAGCAGAAACACAGGAGAUACGUGUGCCUGUCCUUUCUUGUCACCCUAUUCACAUGGAGCAUUCGCCAUGAACUCAGAAUUCUGGUGUAUUCACAAUGUGUGGGAGUUCAUGAAGCUUCUAAGUGACUCCCAAGUGUGUUUUGUCUAUGAUGAGUUAGCUGGGGAGGGGGAGGGACACUGACAGCCCUGAGAGGCCACACUUUCCAUUUGAAAACCAAAACUUGCUUCAAACACAAAGGCAGCAGUGGUAUUCUAAGAAACACAUAUGACCAAGGAAACUUGGUUUGACCUUUCUUACUCAUGUUACUUCUUUGCAUUUGCAAACAACUUAAACUGAAAAUGAAGACACAGAAAGAAAUAGAAAGAUAAGGCAACCCAUAGGCCUUUUUUAAAUUCUUCCUUACUUGUCAGUAAGCCAAAGGUAGAGAGCAUUGAUAGAACGUGCAUGUAUCAGGCCGGGCACGGUGGAUUACGCCUGUAAUCCCAGCACUUUGGGAGGCCGAGGUGGUGGAUCACCUGAGGUCAGGAGUUUGAGACUAGCCUGGCCAACAUGGCAAAACCCUGUCUCUACUAAAAAUACAAAAAUUAGCAGGGUGUGGUGCCGGGUGCCUGUAAUCCCAGCUACUCGGGAGGCUGAAGCAUGAGAAUCAUUUGAACCCAGGAGGCAGAGGUUGCAGUGAACUGAGAUCAUGCCACUGCACUCCAGCCUGGGUGACAGAGAGGGACUCUGUCUCAAAAAAAAAAAAAAAGAAUGUGCAUUAUUGAGAAGCGAAAUAAAAGCAUUGAAUUAGUUUUGUGCAGCAUUUUCCACUGUUCUGGUAAGAAUGAAAUAUGCAAAUUGCAUCAUUUGGAACAAUUUAGCAUACAAAUUAAAUGCUCUUAUAUUUUCGUUUAAAGCUGGCUUUGCACAAUAUAAAGAUGAAUGGUAAGAUUCAUGCUAACAAUUUAAAAUUUUAAUUUUCCUUUACUUAGAGUGGCAUUAAAUAGCGAAUAAGAAUGAUUUUAAAAGCCUUGUGACAAGUCAAAAGAGAGACUGCAGAAGAAAAAAAGCGGCUUUUAUUUUAGUACCUUUCACAGCAGAGGUUGUUUUUGUUCCUGCUUUUGAAAAAGGGCUCCUACAUUUUCGGUUUGCACUGGCAAACCUUUUAAUGAAACAGUAAAGCAAAGUUCCUUACAUUAAAAAGGAGUCAUUUUUAAUCUCCCAGUCUACAUAGACCCAAUUUUCAUUUUAACAAGUUUC
rnacentral:lncRNA from 10 species